AUGUGUGUGCCAAAAGAUAAGGGUGGAAUGGGCUUCAGAGAUUUCAGAGAUUUGCAUUGCUUUAAUUUAGCUCUUUUAGCGAAGCAGUGUUGGAGGCUUUUGUGUGAACCAGAAUCUUUAUGUGCUAAAGUGUUGAGAGCUAAAUAUUUUCCUGAUGGAGACCUUCUUAAUUGCAGCCUUAAGAAAGGUAACUCAUAUACUUGGCAGAGUUUGUGGAGUGGUAUUUAG
rnacentral:rRNA from 1 species